GACGAACGCUGGCGGCGUGCCUAAUACAUGCAAGUAGAACGCACAGUUUAUACCGUAGCUUGCUACACCAUAGACUGUGAGUUGCGAACGGGUGAGUAACGCGUAGGUAACCUGCCUGGUAGCGGGUGAUAACUAUUGGAAACGAUAGCUAAUACCGCAUAAUAUUCAUUAUUGCAUGAUAAUUAAUUGAAAGGUGCAAUUGCACCACUACCAGAUGGACCUGCGUUGUAUUAGCUAGUAGGUGAGGUAACGGCUCACCUAGGGCACGAAACAUAGCCGACCUGGGAGGGGGAUCGGCCAAAAUGGGACUUGGACAACGGCCAGACCCCCACGGGGGGCAGCAGGAGGGGAACUUCGGCAAUGGAGGAAAGGCUGACCGAGCAACGCCGCGGGAGUGAAGAAGGUUUUCGGAUCGUAAAGCUCUGUUGUAAGGGAAGAACGGGUGUGAGAGUGGAAAGUGCACACUGUGACGGUACCUUACCAGAAAGGGACGGCUAACUACGUG
rnacentral:rRNA from 1 species